rnacentral:rRNA from 1 species
AACAGGAUUAGAUACCCUGGUAGUCCACGCCGUAAACGGUGGGCGCUAGGUGUGGGGGAUUUCCACGUCCUCCGUGCCGUAGCUAACGCAUUAAGCGCCCCGCCUGGGGAGUACGGCCGCAAGGCUAAAACUCAAAGGAAUUGACGGGGGCCCGCACAAGCGGCGGAGCAUGUGGAUUAAUUCGAUGCAACGCGAAGAACCUUACCUGGGUUUGACAUGCACUGGAUCGCCUCAGAGAUGGGGUUUCCGUAAGGUCAGUGUGCAGGUGGUGCAUGGCUGUCGUCAGCUCGUGUCGUGAGACGUUGGGUUAAGUCCCGCAACGAGCGCAACCCUUGUUCCAUGUUGCCAGCACGUAAUGGUGGGGACUCAUGGGAGACUGCCGGGGUCAACUCGGAGGAAGGUGGGGAUGAGGUCAAGUCAUCAUGCCCCUUAUGUCCAGGGCUUCACACAUGCUACAAUGGCCGGUACAGAGGGCUGCGAAAUCGCAAGGUGGAGCGAAUCUCUUAAAGCCGGUCUCAGUUCGGAUCGGGGUCUGCAACUCGACCCCGUGAAGUCGGGGUCGCUAGUAAUCGCAGAUCAGCAACGCUGCGGUGAAUACGUUCCCGGGCCUUGUACACACCGCCCGUCACGUCAUGAAAGUCGGUAACACCCGAAGCCCGUGGCCCAACCCUUGUGGAGGGAGCGGUCGAAGGUGGGACUGGCGAUUGGGACGAAGUCGUAACAAGGUAACC